CAUCGAAUUUUGGCUGCCUAUAGUGCGACUCGAACGAGCUUCCGUUGAAUGACGUGCUUGCACUGAUUUCAACAAUGAAGCGAGUGGGGAACUGGGGAGUAACACGUGGGGAAUCUGCCCAGAAGCAGGGGAUAACACUUGGAAACAGGUGCUAAUACCGUAUAACAACAAAAUCCGCAUGGAUUUUGUUUGAAAGGUGGCUUCGGCUAUCACUUCUGGAUGAUCCCGCGGCGUAUUAGUUAGUUGGUGAGGUAAAGGCCCACCAAGACGAUGAUACGUAGCCGACCUGAGAGGGUAAUCGGCCACAUUGGGACUGAGACACGGCCCAAACUCCUACGGGAGGCAGCAGUAGGGAAUCUUCCACAAUGGACGAAAGUCUGAUGGAGCAAUGCCGCGUGAGUGAAGAAGGGUUUCGGCUCGUAAAACUCUGUUGUUAAAGAAGAACACCUUUGAGAGUAACUGUUCAAGGGUUGACGGUAUUUAACCAGAAAGCCACGGCUAACUACGUGCCAGCAGCCGCGGUAAUACGUAGGUGGCAAGCGUUGUCCGGAUUUAUUGGGCGUAAAGCGAGCGCAGGCGGUUUUUUAAGUCUGAUGUGAAAGCCUUCGGCUUAACCGGAGAAGUGCAUCGGAAACUGGGAGACUUGAGUGCAGAAGAGGACAGUGGAACUCCAUGUGUAGCGGUGGAAUGCGUAGAUAUAUGGAAGAACACCAGUGGCGAAGGCGGCUGUCUAGUCUGUAACUGACGCUGAGGCUCGAAAGCAUGGGUAGCGAACAGGAUUAGAUACCCUGGUAGUCCAUGCCGUAAACGAUGAGUGCUAAGUGUUGGAGGGUUUCCGCCCUUCAGUGCUGCAGCUAACGCAUUAAGCACUCCGCCUGGGGAGUACGACCGCAAGGUUGAAACUCAAAGGAAAUGACGGGGGCCCGCACAAGCGGUGGAAGCAUGUGGUUUAAUUCGAAGCUACGCGAAGAACCUUACCAGGUCUUGACAUCUUCUGCCAAUCUUAGAGAUAGACGUUCCCUUCGGGGACAGAAUGACAGGUGUUGCAUGGGUGUCGUCAGCUCGUGUCGUGAGAUGUUUGGUUUAAGUCCCGCAACGAGCGCAACCCUUAUUUAUCAGUUGGCCAGCCAAUCAGGUGGGCACCUCUGGGGUGAGACUGC
rnacentral:rRNA from 1 species